rnacentral:lncRNA from 1 species
UACCAUUUCUGUCCUUUAUCGAGCCCAUCUUUGCAUGAAAUGUUCCCUCACUGGACAGCAAAGAUUUAUUUUGACUUUGACAUCAGGGUUUUCCCAUUUAAGGACCUGUAUCCUCCCUUCCCUAUUCAAAUCAGUAUUUAUGCAAGGUUCAAGCAUCUAUGUCACUACUUCUCCUUCAGUUAAAGGAAUCAGAUAUAUAACAAACUGUUUCCCCAAAGAAAUUUAGUCCUGGAGUAGGAGAUAAUAUGACAAGAGUUCCACAUAGAAUAUUCAUGCUGAAUGAAUGACUGUAUCAAUGAAAGAAACCAAUGGAGAAUACAGUCUACAAAAUAGAACCCCCAACACAACACAAGGAGACAAGUUAUGAGUACAUAGGAUUUGGGACCAGAAGACAUUGCUUCAAAUCCCAGAUCUUCCAUUCACAUUCCAUGAGGUCUUGGGAAAAUCUUUUGGCCUCUCAUUCAUCAGAUAAUGAUAAUAUUAAUUACAACCCACAAAUAUUCUUUAAUAAUCAAAUGAGAUAAAUCAGACAUAAAUAUUAGAGCAAACAGUGUAACUGAGAAAGUUGUAUAAAUAACAUUUAAAUCUGUACCUUCUAUAUUAUUACAGUAGCUAAUAUCCUAUAAAUAUGAAACACUAUGGAUGUCUUGACAAACUGGGCAAAUAUCUAUGGGAAAAGAGUAAUGAUUAAUGGAUGACUAUGCUUCCAUUUGGAAGGUACAAUAAUACUUAUUAAUUCAUUGCAAUCAUUAUCUAUAAAGUUUUUAUCUGACACCAAGGUCAGAUAAUGUUGAAAUCUGCUUUUGAAUAUAUGACUUAUCUCCUUGAUCAUACCUCAUGUGCUCUCUGGACAGGCUUUGUGGGCCUCAGCAAUAUUUGGCAAUAAUCAUUCGUUUCUGUGCUUUAUAGUUCAACAAGUACUUUCACAUAUAUUCAUAAAGUUAUCUUUAAGACAACUUAAGAUAGUCAGAAAGCAAAGAAGAACUAAAGAGCCUCUUGAAGAAAGUGAAAGAGGAG